GACAGUGGUAGGGAGAAGAGAUGUCUCCUUCCAUUUAGACAAGCAGACAUACUCUUGCAAUUUAAUGGAUUAGAAGGACUCAGAGAUAUUUACUGUCUAGCCACUGUGGAUUUUCUGCUGGUUUGGGACUCUCAACUGCUUCCUGGAAAGGUCAAGAAGUCAGCACAGAAAAUAAAGCCCAAGCCAUGAAAAGAGAAAGGAACAGAUUGCUGCACCACCAACCCCACCAUCAAAGUACCUGGCAACGGCUUCACACUUGUUCUUCUCAAGGGGAAAAAAAAAAAGUAACAGUUCUGAAAUAGGUAGGAUCUUGUUUCUAUUGCUAAAGCCUGCGACUUCUGAAGUGACAACCUUCCGAUGCUUUGUGGAGCAACCACCACAGCAACUUCCCCUAAAAAAAUCUUAACCCAUCAUGCUUUUUUCCUAUUGCAGGGCUGAAAAUUCAGCCAGUCAGAGAUAGCCAGUAAAAACAGAAACAUCAGCCAUCUAAAUUCCCAUAAUAUUGACUUGAAACAAAAUACACCAGUGUUUACUCUAUUGCUUUGGCGUGGGUUGGUUUGUUUGCAGUCAAACCGUAAUUUAUACUGGCUCCUCACAUAUUGAUAUGUUGAGGAAAUAAACAGUAAAUACUAUUUCCAA